rnacentral:rRNA from 1 species
UACGUAGGCAGCAAGCGUUGUUCGGAAUUACUGGGCGUAAAGAGUGCGUAGGCGGUGCUCUAAGUCUGUUGUGAAAUCUCCCGGCUUAACUGGGAGGGUGCGGCGGAAACUGGAGUGCUUGAGGGUGGGAGAGGUAAGCGGAAUUCCUGGUGUAGCGGUGAAAUGCGCAGAUAUCAGGAGGAACACCGAUGGCGAAGGCAGGUCUCUGGGCCAUAACUGACGCUGAGAAGCGAAAGCAUGGGGGAGCGAACAGG